rnacentral:rRNA from 1 species
AGUGAACGCUGGCGGUAGGCCUAACACAUGCAAGUCGAACGGCAGCACAGGAGAGCUUGCUCUCUGGGUGGCGAGUGGCGGCCGGGUGAGGAAUACAUCGGAAUCUACUUUUUCGUGGGGGAUAUCGUAGGGAAACUUACGCUAAUACCGCAUACGACCUACGGCUGAAAGCAGGGGACCUUCGGGCCUUGCGCGAUUGAAUGAGCCGAUGUCGGAUUAGAUAGUUGGCGGGGUAAAGGCACACCAAGGCGACGAUCCGUAGCUGGUAUGAGAGUGUGAUCAGCGACAAGGGAACUGAGACACGGUGCAGACUCCUACGGGAGGGAGCAGUAGGGAUUAUUGGACAAUGGGCGCAAGCCUGGUCCAGCCAUACCGCGUGGGUGAAGAAGGCCUUCGGGUUGUAAAGCCCUUUUAGUGGGAAAGAAAGCCAGCUGGCUAAUACACGGUUGGGAUGACGGUACCCAAAGAAUAAGCACCGGCUAACUUCGUGCCAGCCGCCGCAGUAA